rnacentral:SRP_RNA from 1 species
ACAAUGUGUGGUGGUGCAUGCCUGUAGUCCUAGCUACUCGGGAGGCGGAGACAGGAGAGAGCUUGAGUCCAGAAGUUCUGGGCUGUAGUGUGCCAUACCAACUGGGUGUCAGCACUAAGUUUGGUAUCAAUACCAGAGCAGGGGACCACCAGGUUGUUUAAGGAGGGGUGGGUGCACUGGCUCAUAUUGGAAAUGGAGCAGGUCAGAACUCCUGUGCUGAUCAGUAGUGGGAUCACACCUGUGAUUAGCCACUGCACUCCUGCUGGGGAAUAUAGCAAGAGCUGUCUCUU